rnacentral:ncRNA from 10 species
AAUGACACGAUCACUCCCGCUGAGC